UCGAACCGACUUGACCGCGUAGCUCAGUUGGCAGAGCAUUGGGCUAGUAUUUCAAAGGUCGUAGGUUCGAUUCCCACCGUGGCCGGGCAUAUUUUUUCAAGCUCUCCCGGUUUGGAUAUACUUAAUAAUAUGUAAAUAGUGGUAAACAUUUUUAUAUCGAUACAUAAAUCCAUAAAAAUCCUGUAAACUCAAACGUGUGAUUUGAGUAUAGAUUUAAAAUUAUCUUAAUAAAGACUACUAUCUAUAACCAUAGGCGUACUAGCCAAGGGAAAGGGGUAAUUUCCAUGGUUUUUUUGGAAACCAUGGAAAUUCGGGAAAAUACUAGGGAAAAAAAAUCGGCCAUAUUUAUCAGAGAAUAGGUUCAACAUACGCUACCAAUCUAAAUCGUAUAUUUUUAUUGCAAAAACGUGUCAUUUGUAAAGUCUCUUACGACGAA